GCGAACCGCCACCCGCUCCCGUCCCCAUGGCGUCCACCUCCCGCGCCCCCGCGAAGCCCCAGCAGGUCCUAGUCCUCGACCCACCCACGGACCUCAAGUUCAAAGGCCCCUUCACCGGGUUGCUCACGGCGCAUCUUAAACUGCGCAACCCGUCGGCGAGGAAGGUGUGUUUCAAGGUGAAGAGCACCAGCCCUCGGCGCUACUGCGUGCGGCCCAACAACGGAGUCAUCGACCCGGGUUGCACCGUGACCGUCGCUGCCACGAUGCAACCCUCCUGCUGCGGCCCCAGCAAGGAGGUCAAGCACAAGUUCAUGGUGCAGACAGUGUUUGCUCCUCCGGACAUUUCGGAUCUGGAAGCCGUGUGGAGGGAGGCACACCCUGGGGAACUAAUGGAUUCGAAACUGAGGUGUGUGUUUGAACCGCCGACAGAAAGUGACAAACUGGAAGAUGGCUUGAGACUCAGAAAGGCAACGCAUCCCGACAAGCCCAGACCCUCCUCCUCCACGUCCUUGAAGCCGGCUCGCAGCACGCCUCUUCCUGUUGUUCUGCUGGUGAUCGGAGCAGUUUUCUUUGGAUUCUUUCUAGGGAAAUUCGUCUUGUAGAGUGAGGCACGCACACUAUCCCCCUCACCCUACACUCCCCCUCCCCCAACUAAGACCAGAAAAAAAAAUUCUUUAUCCAUCAUCUAUUGGAAGUAUGGCCCGCCCGCGGUGGCAGAUUUUGUGUGCGAGUAGUCACAUAGGCUUCUUCACCCCUAAUGAUCUCUUGUGAUUGGAGGACGCAAUAAAUGAACAAACCAAAUAAAGAACUGAUGGGCUACUGGACAGAUUGCCUAUUAUCGGAUCAUCAAAGCCAGUUGCCCAUUCAGUGCGUGGUGAAAUGC